rnacentral:lncRNA from 13 species
CUGUGACAGAGGCAGCAAAUGGAGCCCUGGGUGGCUUGUUGAACAAAGCCCUCAUUCCGUGGUGGCAGCAGCAGCGUGGGGUGACGUCCCUUGCGGUGAUGCUGCCCGCCGUGGUCUGUGCAGGGAGGGGCAGGAAGGGAUGGAUGGGAUCCAGAAGGCAAGAAGCAAAACAAGCCCAGCGCCAGGAAAAAUCCUGCCCAGUUUCUGGGGAAGAAUGGUUUUUCUAAUCAAAGGAACCUUCGUGGAAUGCCUGAAGUCCGGUGGCUCCCUGAUAACCGGGAGUAACAGGAUGUAACAGGAGAGGCCAUCAAUCCUCCUGCCCAAAGGAGCCAACUGGGGCCAACUAGAACAUCUCUGCUGCCUCCUAAGGGAGUGAGUGUGUUUUCUGGAGCUGCUGCCUAUGAUUGCAGGGGAGAAAGAUGAUCUGAAGAGUCAGCUGUGAACUUAUUGCUGCCCAUUCUCCAAGGUAAAUAACAUUUUCCAUUGUCUGAUGUAUCCUGACUGUUGACCCUGAAGCUCCCAAAACUAAACCUUGUAAGUAGACACUCACUUUCUUAAGGUUGUCUUUUUGUUGUUCUUGAGGUUUAAGGAAGGAUU